CCCAGACUCCUACGGGAGGCAGCAGUAGGGAAUCUUUUACAAUGGGCGAAAGCCUGAUGGAGCAACGCCGCGUGCAGGAUGAAGGCCUUCGGGUUGUAAACUGCUUUUAUAAGCGAGAAAUAUGAUGGUAACUUAUGAAUAAGGAUCGGCUAACUACGUGCCAGCAGCCGCGGUAAUACGUAGGGGGCAAGCGUUAUCCGGAUUUACUGGGUGUAAAGGGAGCGUAGACGGUGCAGCAAGUCUGAUGUGAAAGGUCGGGGCCCAACCCCGGGACUGCAUUGGAAACUGUUGAACUGGAGUACAGGAGAGGUAAGCGGAAUUCCUAGUGUAGCGGUGAAAUGCGUAGAUAUUAGGAGGAACACCAGUGGCGAAGGCGGCUUACUGGACUGUAACUGACGUUGAGGCUCGAAAGCGUGGGGAGCAAACAGGAUUAGAUACCCGGGUA
rnacentral:rRNA from 1 species